AUUGAACGCUGGCGGCAGGCCUAACACAUGCAAGUCGAGCGAGGUUUUCGGACCUAGCGGCGGACGGGUGAGUAAUGCGUAGGAAGCUGCCCGAUAGAGGGGGAUACCAGUUGGAAACGACUGUUAAUACCGCAUAAUGUCUACGGACCAAAGUGUGGGACCUUCGGGCCACAUGCUAUCGGAUGCGCCUACGUGGGAUUAGCUAGUUGGUGGGGUAAUGGCUCACCAAGGCGACGAUCCCUAGCUGGUUUGAGAGGAUGAUCAGCCACACUGGGACUGAGACACGGCCCAG
rnacentral:rRNA from 1 species